rnacentral:rRNA from 1 species
GUUGAACGCUGGCGGCAGGCCUAACACAUGCAAGUCGAACGGUAACAGGAAGCAGCUUGCUGCUUCGCUGACGAGUGGCGGACGGGUGAGUAAUGUCUGGGAAGCUGCCUGAUGGAGGGGGAUAACUACUGGAAACGGUAGCUAAUACCGCAUAAUGUCGCAAGACCAAAGAGGGGGACCUUCGGGCCUCUUGCCAUCGGAUGUGCCCAGAUGGGAUUAGCUUGUUGGUGGGGUAACGGCUCACCACGGCGACGAUCCCUAGCUGGUCUGAGAGGAUGACCGGCAACACUGAAAUGGAGACAGGGUCAGGACUCCUACGGAGGGCGGCAGUGGGAAAAAUUGACCAAUGGCGCAAGCCUGAUGCAGCCAUGCCGCGUGUAUGAAGAAGGCCUUCGGGUUGUAAAGUACUUUCAGCGGGGAGGAAGGGAGUAAAGUUAAUACCUUUGCUCAUUGACGUUACCCGCAGAAGAAGCACCGGCUAACUCCGUG